GGCAGGAGCUCUCUGUUUGCCUGCUUGAAGGUAUGGACUGACAACCCUACCAGCCAAUGCAGCCACUGAAGGCAACUCACCCAGAACUCAAUAUUCUCCUCACUGUACUCAGACUUGAGGAAAGCCCGGAAAGCAGCCAGCCCACCUGCAGAUGGGGUGAAAGCAAUAGGAAGCAGGGUGAAUAGGACAGAAAUGUGAGGCGUGCUGGGGUCAGCAGCAGAGCUGACACUGACCACAGUCUGGGACCAAGGCAGAGCCACUACCUCCAUGUUUUGGGAAAUUGUGGGUCCCUUGAGUUCCCCACACAGCCUGAGGAUGAGAUUUCAUCUGUUCCCAACUUCCUUAGAGCAUGUGCUGCUUUACCAAUAAGGGAUAGUUCAGUGCGAAUGCCAUGGUCUGUUC